rnacentral:rRNA from 1 species
AACGAACGCUGGCGGCAUGCCUAACACAUGCAAGUCGAACGAGACCUUCGGGUCUAGUGGCGCACGGGUGCGUAACACGUGGGAAUUUGCCUCGGGGUAUGGAAUAACUCAGGGAAACUUGAGCUAAUACCAUAUAAUGUCUUCGGACCAAAGAUUUAUCGCCCUGAGAUAAGCCCGCGUAGGAUUAGCUAGUUGGUGGGGUAAAGGCUCACCAAGGCGACGAUCCUUAGCUGGUCUGAGAGGAUGAUCAGCCACACUGGGACUGAGACACGGCCCAGACUCCUACGGAGGCAGCAGUGGGGAAUAUUGGACAAUGGGCGAAAGCCUGAUCCAGCAAUGCCGCGUGAGUGAUGAAGGCCUUCGGUUGUAAAGACUCUUUACUCGGGUACGAGUAAUAGACGGUACCGACGAGAAUAAGACCC